UACGUAGGGUGCGAGCGUUAAUCGGAAUUACUGGGCGUAAAGCGCGCGUAGGUGGUUUGUUAAGUUGGGUGUGAAAGCCCCGGGCUCAACCUGGGAACUGCAUCCAAAACUGGCCAACUAGAGUACAGUAGAGGGUGGUGGAAUUUCCUGUGUAGCGGUGAAAUGCGUAGAUAUAGGAAGGAACACCAGUGGUGAAGGCGACUACCUGGACCAGCACUGACACUGAGGCAUGAAAGCGUGGGGAGCAAACAGG
rnacentral:rRNA from 1 species